GAUUGAGCGAGGAAAGCAGCCUCGGCAGCGCCAGCUAAGCAACCGGCUCCAGGGCAGCGCGUUUUGGAGGCUGAAGCUGGGAAUGGAUCCAGUCACAUGAAAGUGGGGAAAGAACUGCCAGAGAAAGGAAGGCUCAGCCCAGGCACUGGGGAGCCUCUGAAAAGUUCUGAGCAGAGAAGAGACUGUAUGAAACUACGUUGGUGACUGUGUGCUGGAUGGAUCAGAAGGGAACAAAGUCGUCAGGGAUGAACAAAGAAUAACACAUGUGAGACUAAAAAUUUGGGGGACCCUCAGGAUUCUUGAUGGAGAAGGAAAUGGCGACCCACACCAGUGUUCUUGCCUAGAGAAUCCCAGGGAUGGGGGAGCCUGGUGGGCUGCCGUCUGUGGGGUCACACAGAGUCGGACACGACUGAAGCGACUUAGCAGCAGCAGCAGCAGGAUUCUUGAUCCAGGAGGCGGGGGUUCAGUCGCUGAUCCGGGACGAUCCCACGUGCUGCGGAGGACUGCUGAGCCUGUGCUCUAGAGCCCGGUAGCCACAACUGCUGAGCCCACGUGUCCCAGCUGCUCAAGUCCGAACGCCCUAAAGCCCACGCUCCCCAGCAGAGAAGCCAGCACAGUGAGAAGCCUGUGCGUCAAGCUGGAGAGAGGCCCCCGCCCGCUGCAGCUCGAGAGAAGCCGGAGCAGCAGCAAAGACCCAGCACCGCCAUAAAUAAUAAAUAAAAACAUUCACAAAAAUAAAAUACCAACUCCGAGAGAUGCAUCAUGGAAUAGAACUGGGAUGAGAGAGUUCUCGGUUAUCUCUUUCAAUGAAAGCGUAGAGUCGCCAACUACAUGUUUGAUGGUGAGCAAAUCUCCUCACCUGUUAGAUCUCAUUUGCAAAAUCAAAAAUGUCCUCUGGCCAGGAAGCAUCAUAAAGUGAAUGUUUUGCUUUUUCUUAUACACUCUGCUCCUGGUGUGGUAGGUACAGCUAUUACUACAUUCCUAUGAUCUUAUUUUAAUUUUAAAUCCUUGGGUAAGAAGUAUUUCUUAAAAAAUCAAAUUUUAAUCUUAUUUUCUUCCAAAAAAAUUAAAAAUUAAUUCUAUUAAAUUACAAGAGAUAUAGUGUAGUGCUUACAUGCUUGGUCCUCUGAAAUAGAUUUUUUUCGUUUCAACACUUAAAUUAGGCAAAUCGCUGAGUCUCUCAGUGCCUCGGUUUCUACAUAAGGAUAAUGACGCUGGCCUCACAGCAUGGGCAGGAGGAUGGAAUGAUACAGUUAGCACAGGGCCUGGCCAUAGCCAAUGGUCAGUUCAGUUCAGUUGCUUAGCUCUUUGCAACCCCAUGGACUGCAGCAUGCCAGGCCUCCCUGUCCAUCACCAACUCCCGGACCUUACUCAAACUCAUGUCCAUUGAGUCAGUGAUGUCAUCCUACCAUCUCAUCCUCUGUUGUCCCCUUCUCCUCCUGCCUUCAAUCUUUCCCAGCAUCAGGGUCUUUUCUAAUGAGUCAGUUCCUUGCAUCAGGUAGCCAAAUGCUCAGCAAAUGUUUUUUUUUUGUUUGUUUUUGUUUUAAUAUUUGGCUAUGCCACAGGGCAUAUGAGAUCUUAGUUCCCCAACCAGGGAUCAAACCUGUGCCCCCUGCAUUAAAAGCCUGGAGUCUCAACUGCUGGACUGCCAGGGAAGUCCCAUCAAAUGUUAAUCUUUAAGCUAUUUCCAUUUCUCCAUUUGCCCUCUUCACCUUCAGUAUGUUUGUGUGUACACAUACAUAUGACAUAUACGAUAACACAUAUUAUACAUGUAUAUUACAAUCAUAUAUAUUAUAAUCUCAGGGACAGGGUUUACAGUUGGAAGGAAUUUCUAGAUUAAAUCCAAACCUGUCUUACCCCUGAAUAUGUACAUUGAUUACAUUUGUAUUUUUUCUGUUGGACUCAAAUGGGUGAUCAGGUU